ACCAUGACAUUUCCAACCCCACUGAUGUCACAUGUUCAAACCAGACAGGAAGGUUUAGAUUCACAUCCCAGAAGUUUAACACAGUUGAUUGUUCCAGUUAGUUAUGGGUUCAUAUUUGUAUCACAAUACACCUGUUGAUUGUAAGGCUUUAAAAAAUGAUCUUUCCUGUCUUUGCUCUUGACCAGUGCAGUGGUGUAUUUUACACUUCUAGUGCUUCUCUUAUUCAUUGAUUCAUUCACACUGAAGUGCAUGUUACCUGGUGUCUUCACCUCGUUCGACCAGAGCAAAAUACAGCAAUGCAGAUCAGCUGCUCUGGUGUCAUGUGACUCUGCUUCCUACGUAAGACAGUGACAUCGUGUUAACAUGCAAAGAGCAGACCCAUUGCCCUGCAAUCACAUGCGUGAUACUCAGCACGUUUCACACACUGGCAGCACUGCUGAGAGCUAGAAGAAAUGUUUUUUUUUUCUGAAAUAUUUGGAAAUGAUUGUGUUCCUGUAAUUGAAAUGGUAGAGCAUGGUGCUAACAACUACAAGGUCUGGGGUUGAAUUCCUAGGGAAUGAAUCUGCCUGAUCUCAUGAAAAUUACGUGACUGUGCCAACAUUUUUGCAAAAUUAUAUUACUUGGUUCAUUCCACGUAUUGUGGCAGUUCCGGGGUGAAAUGUCCACUCAUGCUAAAAGUGAGUUGAAUGUUCUCCCAAACGGAUAAAGUGUUUAAGAAUAAUGCUCUAUCGAGUUCUAAGUCAACAAAACUGACCUGCCCACCCCAAACCCUAAACUUAACUGAUAGUUUUUCAUUUCACAGCAAGUACGUCAUUUCAUGGUGCUUCUAUGACACUUUUAGCGCACAUGUUGUCUCGCGUGCUCUUGUGGACUCAUAUUCCGACCCUUCGUGUUGCAAGUACAACGCUACAAUCUGUUGCACUAGCUUGCAAUUUGAAUGCGCACUACAAGGUUUGUAAAUGAAGGCUUACAAGUUAUGUGCUAUGAAAAAAAGUGUUUGGAUGCCAUAAGAAAAAAAACAGGGUGAAAAGUAUGUGUUUAUGGAUUGAUAAUUUGCCGUUUUACUCAUGAUUUUUGUGAAAGGGAAUAAAAGUAAUUGUUGUUGUAUCGCCUCUAGUGUUUAUUUCACCAGGAAAUUGCCACAUUGUGUAUAUCGAGCCAUGUAAAAACCAUUUUGCAAUGAUUUAGGUAUAGUAACGUGAUUCUAUGACACCUGGUUAAAAGAAUGGAACGUAUAAAUUUAUACGUCAUGUGCAUUGUAAAUCACUUUUGAUGAAAUUGUCUGCCAAAUGUUUGUGAAGGGUAAAUUGCUGGAUUUCUCCUCUCACACACUCUUUCAGCUGAAGUUAAUUUUUUUCUGACCUCUGGUUACUCUCGUUUACCAGAUCGUGAUCUCAUUGCUCUCCUUUUGGAUUUAAGGGCUCUGUGUUUUGUCUUGGCAAGAGGCCAGGAUAAUGAUUUAAAAUAAAGGAAGAGAAUGGAUGAGACAGGCAGAGAGAAACAGAGGGUGCAGAGUGAGUGAAAGAGAGACAGAUUAACCUUAGGUCACAAUGGAAUAGCAGACAAACGAGCAGACAAAAUGAUUGCAAACCCUAUGUUGUGUGCCAUAUAAUGCACUGGCAUCAGAUGUUGUUGCAUAAAGUGUCCAAGCACUGAUCUCGCAUCAGUUACAUCUUGUUGCCUAUGUUAUGUGCCUGUCCACACUGCUGGAAUCACCUCACCAGCUCCUGGCAGGGUUUUAUUUGCAUUUAAAUGCCAUUAGAUAGAGAGAUUUUGACCGUAUGAGGGCAAGGUCUGUUUUAAAAUCACUGUGAGCUUUUACAAUCAUGUUUCUGUUGUAAAAACAGGAGUUUUAGGCGGUUUGGGAUUUAGAGACAGAGAUGGGAAGAGAAUGGAUGUUUGUUUAUUGAUUUAUUUAUUUAUUUGUGAUAAGACGGUUUUGACCUUUAGGUGGAGUAGCAUAUUCUAAAUGACCUUUAAGGAAAGACAAAUCUCUAGCCUGCUUUUCAGCCACGCAGCUUAGAGCAGCGACAAUGAGAUAUACCUGAAAUAUUGUAUUUAUUCUCUCUCUCUUUAAUUCUUUAUGUUGGUAGCUUAUUAGCCUCUUGCCCUGCAGUAGUGGUUGAAUCGUUUAAGAUAUGCUCUCUGUGUCCUUAUGUUUCAGACCUAUGUAUUUUGGACACUUAUGUUGCAGUAAAAAAACACCACUCUAAUGAGGGCUCUCAGUUGUUACCACAACCAUCAAUUAACAUGACACUCAAAAUUCACGCCCUCGUUUCAAACGCUGAAUAGAUCAAGACUCACAAUUCGGCACGAACACAUGACUCUCUCUUGCUUACUCGCUUCUCCGCUGUUUCUGUUGUUCUGUUGGUAGCUGAACGUGUUCUUUCAAUACUGAUCAGAAGCAUUGAUUAAAGAGAACAAAGGCUGAGGGAGAAGAGGAUAAGGGACAGAAAGACGGAUGGGGUUGAAUCCAUUAGCCAGGGUGAAUGAUGAUAAUCACCCAAAGCUGCAGGAUGUCAAACUGAACUGUUUUGAUCGAUAAGGUAACAUACUGUAUGUGUUUGUGUCAUAGUGUCAUGGAGGUCAGAGUAUUUGCCCCUCUCAUGAUGGUUGCUGUCAGAGGUUAUGUAGGGUAAAAAAAAAAAAAAAAAAGAAGAUUUUUAGUGUUGGCAAUACACUUGAACUGUUGUCUGUACGCAGAGCCGUGAAAUUCUCAAACACGUUCAUAUGCAUUCAGGUACAGUAGUUACCGUGUACCAAUAACUCUGAAUGAGAUAACUGUAGUCUAGCCAUUGUUGCAGGGGUGCAGGAAAUGUCAGUUUUGAGCAUACAGUGGAGUGAGUGUGUUUGUGUGGGUGUUUUUUUUUUGCGUGGAUUUUUCUCCCCUUUUCUCCCCAAUUUGGAAUGCCCAAUUCCCAAUGCGCUUUAAGUCCUUGUGAUGGCUUAGUGACUUGCCUCAAUCUGGGUGGCAGAGGACGAAUCUCAGUUGCCUCCACGUCUGAGACCGUCAAUCUGUACAUCUUAUCGCGUGGCUUGUUGAGCGUGUUUCUGUGGAGACAUAGUGCAUGUGGAGGCUUCACGCUAUUCUCCGCGGCAUCCACGCACAACUAACCACGUGCCCCACCGAGAGCGAAAACCACUUUAUAGUGACCACGAGGAGGUUUCCCCAUGUGACUACUGGAGUCACUCAGCACCUGGAUUCAAACUGGCAACUCCAGGUGUGGUAGUCAGUGUCAUUACUUGUUGAGUUACCCAGGCCCCCAUUUGUGUAGGUGUUUUAACCUGUUUAUACCAACCCCUUUUUGAGCACAAACCAUGAAAACGACAUAUCUGAACUUAAAUGGUUGUAUUAACUGGACCCUUCGGAGUAUGGACACAGUUGUAGUAUCUUUUGAAAGAAGACACUUGGGGUUUUUUUAUUUUUAAGUUAGAGAAGCUGAAGUUUAUAGAAAUGGAUAUAUUUUGUUCUGAACAGGUCUUUAUCAUCUAAAAAAACAAUAAUAAAAGUGCCAGAACAACCCAGAAAUACAAAAAAAAAAGACACAAGUCUAAAGAAGUUAUGUUUCAAAUUUGAAGAUGAUCUAACAAAAAAGUAGGUUCCUGCAAGCUUUUUUCUCUGACGAGGGACAUAACCUAAAACGGCCACUUAGAGUUUCCAAAGGGCCACUUGGUAACAAAAUGAUCCGAGGGCUAGAGAAAGCUAUUAUAGUUAUUUUUACAUGUACCACAUCUACUAAACUGUUGUUUUCCCCCCCAAUUUAAAAUAUGACACAAUUUCCUGUAGUUACAUUUUUUUAUUUGUUUUUAAUAAAUGCCAUGCAACAGUGCACUCAAGUUUUAUGCCCUUCCCAACUUCCCCCUGUCUCAUGGAUCCGAAUGUUCAUAAUUGCAUACGUUGCGCGGAUGUGCCCACUACCAGGGCCAGACUGGGACAUAAUUUCAGGUCGGGAGUCUCACACUCAUCCAGGCCACAUAAUAAACCAACAAGAAAUUUUAAAACCCCAGUUUAUGUUGGGAUGAUGAUUUAACAAUACACUUUACGCUAAGGUUGUAUACGUUAACACAUGAACAUGUAACAUUCCAAAUUAGGUUUAAAGACAUAACAGUAAAUAUUUUUAAUGCAUUUAUUCAUCUGAGUUCAUUUUAAUUUAUACAUAUUGUUCAUUGUUAGUUCAUGUUAGUUCUUAAUGAUGUUACAUUACCAAUGUUAAAUAUUAAACUGUAUUAGUAUGUGUUGAGAUGAACAUCAACCAAGAUUACAAAUGCUGUAAAAGUAUUGUUCAUUGUUCAUGUUAAUUCACUGUGUAAUGUUAAUUGAUACACAACCUUAUUUUAAAUCCAAGUUGGAAUUACGACUUCAAGUGGCGUUCCAUUGCACUUUUCCUAGUAGGAAGUUGGAAAAUCAAACUUUCUGAGUUGAAUGGAAUGCAACAUAAGCUAACUGCACUGAUAUAAAGAUAUUAAUCCAGCUCUAUUCAAGAGUGUGAAUAUGUCAAAAGUCCAAAGUCAAAGAGAGGAAGUGAUGGAAAUGUUUAAUGGGAAUGUGGCAUAAUAAUUUAACAUGGGUUUUAGCAAAGACCUUCGCCUAACUCAGAGCACUUCUGAAGUUCUGGACAUCAACAUCAUCAGAGCCAUGAGAAGUGACAGUCAAAGGGGACAUUUGACUUCAAAACAAUGACAUAAUGUCAUAAAAGUGGCAAUGCAGCAUUAUAUUUGACCAUCUUCAUACAGAUAAAACAACACACCUAUGCAUUGAUCAGCACAUCCAUCCUCAACCUGAUCUUUCAUAUGGUGUGAAAACCCCUCAGUGCAGAGAGUCGGCAUCAAACUGAUGACAUGGAGAUGGCUCAAGUGAAGUUUUGUUAAAUUUGUUGUAUCCGAAAUACCUCACUCAGUUUGUCAGACCAGUGGCAACAAAAUGAUUCUGUAUCUGCCCCAGUGCUAAAAUUGUUUAACAGCUUUUCAUAGGUCAUUUGUUUUUAUUUAUUCUUACUUAGUUUUUUACUUAUUAAUCUUACUUAUGGUUAUAAUGUUAACACAUAGUUAAAUGAUUUAAUGUUUAUGAUUUUUAUAUAAAUAAUAUUACUACUAAUGAACUUUUAGCUUAUUAUUACAAACCUGUGGAUUUAUUAAGUCAAGACUAGUGCAUUAUGAAUCGUAUUAAUUAUUGCUUGUGUUGUUGUAAAUACAAACUAUUAAAUGUCUUUUAUAUGGUUAUUUCACUUUCUUAGUUAUAUAGUAUAUGAACUAUUCAAUUCACAUAUCCAUUAAACAUUAUAAUAAAAAAUAAAACAAAAAAUAAAUACAUUUAAAAACUAAACAAAAAACAAAUGUUACGGUUGCAUGUUGGGAACCCCUAUAAGGUUCUAUAUAGAACCUUUCCACUUGGUUCAAAGAACCAUUAAAAGGGUUCUCUAUAGAACCUUUUAGGGGUUCCAAAUAUGAAGCAAGUGAUAGAACACUUUAGGGUUCUAUAUGGAACCUUUUCUUCUAAGAGUGUAAUAAGAAACGUAUUCAGAUAGUUUAUAUCCUUUCUUACAUGCUGAGAACUUUCCUGACCCAUGACUUGUAAAAAUAAAACUGUUUUUAUUUCUUCUAUUAUUAUCUUUAUCUUAUGUAUACAUUUGUGUUGGUUCAUAAUGUAUGUAUUUUUUGUUUUUUAUUAACUGUACUUUUGUCUUUAUGACUCAUUGUAUUCAUACAUUGUUGGAUCUGUGUAAUUUUGUACAUCUUAUCUGUGUAAUUUUGUACAUCUUAUUGAAAAUUUAACCUUCUUUUUUCAAUAAAAAUA